CCAAAAAUAUCGGAUUUUGGCAUGGCAAGAAUGUUCGGAGUUGAAGAUCAAACUCAAGGAAACACCAAAAGAAUUGUCGGCACCUAGCUUGGCAAUUAUGGAACGAAACAAAAGAGUUGGAGUUGAUGGAUCCGUUGUUGAAAGAUUCAUGCAGUUCAAAUGAAUUU